rnacentral:rRNA from 1 species
AGGCAGCGGGAAGAUAGCUUUGCUAUCUUUGCUCAGGCGAGCGGCGGACGGGUGAGUAAUGCCUAGGGAUCUGCCCAGUCGAGGGGGAUAACAGUUGGAAACGACUGCUAAUACCGCAUACGCCCUACGGGGGAAAGGAGGGGACCUUCGGGCCUUCCGCGAUUGGAUGAACCUAGGUGGGAUUAGCUAGUUGGUGAGGUAAUGGCUCACCAAGGCGACGAUCCCUAGCUGUUCUGAGAGGAUGAUCAGCCACACUGGGACUGAGACACGGCCCAGACUCCUACGGGAGGCAGCAGUGGGGAAUAUUGCACAAUGGGGGAAACCCUGAUGCAGCCAUGCCGCGUGUGUGAAGAAGGCCUUCGGGUUGUAAAGCACUUUCAGUAGGGAGGAAAGGUAAUAGUUUAAUACGCUAUUACUGUGACGUUACCUACAGAAGAAGGACCGGCUAACUCCGUGCCAGCAGCCGCGGUAAUACGGAGGGUCCGAGCGUUAAUCGGAAUUACUGGGCGUAAAGCGUGCGCAGGCGGUUUGUUCAAGCGAGAUGUGAAAGCCCCGGGCUCAACCUGGGAAUUGCAUUUCGGAACUGGCGAACUAGAGUCUUGUAAAGGGGGGUAAGAAUUCCAGGUGUAGCGGUGAAAUGCGUAAAGAUC